rnacentral:rRNA from 1 species
CCUACGGGGGGCAGCAGUGAGGAAUAUUGGUCAAUGUCCUUAAUUCUUAACCAUCCACUCCUCUUUCCUGACGAAGGUGCCCAUCCUUGUAAACUUCUUUUGUCAAGGGACAAAAUCAGGCUCGAGAGCCUGACCGAGGGUACUUGAAGAAAAAGCAUCGGCUAACUCCGUGCCAGCAGCCGCGGUAAUACGGAGGAUGCGAGCGUUAUCCGGAUUUAUUGGGUUUAAAGGGUGCGUAGGCGGGCUGUUAAGUCAGCGGUAAAAGCCCGGGGCUCAACCCCGGCGAGCCGUUGAAACUGGCUGUCUUGAGAUGUCGAGAGGUAUGCGGAAUGCGCAGUGUAGCGGUGAAAUGCUUAGAUAUUGCGCAGAACUCCGAUUGCGAAGGCAGCAUACCGGCGGCGAUCUGACGCUGAGGCACGAAAGCGUGGGUAUCGAACAGGAUUAGAUACCCGAGUAGUC